AUGGCCAGAAGCCGCUUAAGAGAUGACAGAUUAGAAGUCAUAGACAUGAGAUCCAGGCUUAGAUUGGCCUCAUCCCAGAGUCUGAGCUCCCCCUACUUUAUUGCACGCUCUCUAUUUGUCAAAGCCCAACAUCUCAAAUGUGAGUGUACUUCUGAGAGAGCAUUGGCGAUAAGGGUGAAGGGGAAGUCCUGUUGUCCUCUGAUGCCACGGUUUUCCCAUGACAUGGCCCAUGAUGGAGGGGAGUUGACUGGAAGCACAUCAAGUGUCCUGUGUCCUUAUCAACACUACACUACCCACCAAUCAGCACUGGGAUUUCUUCAACGUUUGUUACCGGGCUUCUUCAUGAACAAUGGUCUGAGGAGAUAUGUAAGCGAUGAUGGUAGACAUAUGUGAGCUGCCUGCAGGGAGCCAAAGAGCAAGCCGGAAGAUGCAACCUUAAUGUUUUCCAAAUGCAGUUUUCUUUCUGGAAAUACCAUGUCCACUUAGUGAUCAGGCAAAUGAAAUGAAUAAGAGAAAAAAGUGAUGCGGAGCUAAAGCUGCUCGGUGGGGAGCCAGAGCUGGAGAGGAGGAGGAAGUGAUGGUGAGAAACAGGGGGCCCUCAAGUCUGCAGUUGUACUGAGCAGGCUCGACUUGAAUACCAAGGGUUAAUUCGCCCUAAUAAAAUCAGCAUGAACGCUGCCA
rnacentral:lncRNA from 1 species